UACGUAGGGUGCGAGCGUUGUCCGGAAUUAUUGGGCGUAAAGAGCUCGUAGGCGGUGUGUCACGUCGAUCGUGAAAACUUGGGGCUUAACUCUGAGCUUGCGGUCGAUACGGGCAUCACUGGAGUUCGGCAGGGGAGACUGGAAUUCCUGGUGUAGCGGUGAAAUGCGCAGAUAUCAGGAGGAACACCAAUGGCGAAGGCAGCACUCUGGGACGGUACUGACGCUGAGACGCGAAAGCGUGGGGAGCAAACAGG
rnacentral:rRNA from 1 species